rnacentral:lncRNA from 14 species
UGGCCAUGUCCCUCCUUCAGCUAGAAUGAGAGCUCAGGACUUCCAGCUGGGAUGGAGACUUCUCCACUUCAGACACUGAAUGAGAUGAAUCCCAUCCAAUCUGCCUCCUCAAGGCACCAAACCUGAGUUUUUAAUACUAUGAAGACUAAAGUCAGUGUAAGGGAUGGAUGGGAGAGGGCCAGGAGCAUCAUUACUGCCACAAUGGUAUAAGGAGAUCAGAAAAUGCAGUAGUCAAACUGCUGGAGGAUGACUGCAAGCAAGAAGGAGGAGAGGGAAAAGGUUUCCAAAGAGAAGAGGUUUGCCAUCUGGGUGGAAACCUGACCAAGCAUCACAGGAGGGGUUGGGCCCAUCAGCCAAGCUGAACAGCUGUGGGGAAGCUACAGGAAAACCAAAUCACUCCACUGGAAUAAUUUAUAGUGGCUGGCUUGUGGGGAUAAUAACAGAAAAGGAACUCAGCCCUUUCAUCUGCUGUUGCAGCGUGAGGUCCGUGCCAGACAUUUGCAAAGCACCAUUUUCAAGCUGUGAUGGGAGCUUCACCUGGAAUGUUGUGUAAGAAUCAGCUAGGAGAAGGAAUGACACCUCUGUGGCUCUGUGAUGUGGUAUCUCAGGGCUUCACAGUGCAUCCCUUCACCAUGUCCUGUUGGUGAAGUCACAUUAAUCAUCCCGUGUAAGUCCCAGAUGGUCAAUGCCCAACUAGAGGCAUUUUUGGCUGGUCCUUGACUUGUGGUGGUCAUGUUUUUGUUGGGUGAAAGUCACACAGCUAAAAGCACUGUCCUGGUAUACUGACAUAGGGAUCUGGGACAGGGACAUCUCAGACCAUCCCACCUACUCUCUACCACCAGGAAUGUAAACCAUAGGACUUAGAAAGAUCAUUCAUCCCUUGGGUCCUCCUGAAUCUGAAUACCUAUAGAUUACCAUUUGGGUGCCAGACAUCCUCCACCUGAAAAUACCCUGCCAUAUCAUGACCUCCUUGCAUUUGGUUCUCAAGGAUAGGGCAGUGCCUCCCUUCUCUCUCAGCUAGGUGCAUGCUCAGGUGAUUGCACUGAUUUUACUAUUAAUCAGUGAUAAUUUACCUCUGUAGAACGGAGGUAUCUGUAAAUGCUGGCUAUUAGCAGUGAAAGCACUCAAUCAGAUCUAUCAAAGAAAUAAAUAGUAGGGAGAAUACA